UCCAUGAGCUCAGUGUAGGACACCGUACCGGACUGUAUGCCGGAGUCUUCCAUAUACAAGUAAAUACAUCACCGUUACAUCUCCGGUUUGGGACGCGUCUCUGUCUGUACCUGGACUAUUAUGUCACUCAUACACAUAUCAGUGUGACGUCACUAUAGUGCGCUCCUUAAUAUAGGUGCAGUUACAUCCAUUGGGAGGUUGCCCUUGAGCCCUAUUCCUUUCCAGAUGCACGGGACAGGAUGAGCGGGACAGACUUACGGUCCCGGUGUAGACAAGUGAAUGGAAAGUUCUUCACAGUGUUGGAGCCUGCAGAUGGGAUGGGUUUUGGAGGAAGGUGUCUUUUUUGGCCGGGAUCUUUCUGUUCCUGUCGACCACCUGUCUAUGCGGAUGGCGAGGUUCAGCCAGCUAGGUUGUGAUGUCAUAGCCUUUCUUUAUGUUUUUUGGACCAGCAGAGAGCAGGACAAGACAUAAAUAUCUCCCCUUCUCCACUGACCGUCCGGUGGCUCAGGGAUCGCCUGCAUUCGUGGGACCUGCAAGUCUUGUGUUCGUGCCACUGGCUGAACCUAACAUGUUACUACCGCUCAAAGGUUCAGGGGUCACGGGACGUUUCUGCCCAUGAAGAGAUUCCAAUAAAAAUCAUCCGUUUCCAACAUAACCCCCGUCUGCCCGGGAUUUCUGAUCCAUUUCAUGUUAUUUUAAUGUACAAAGUCUGCGUUUCUUCCAAAAACGAGGACAUUUCUAAGUGACCCCAAACGUUUGACGGGCAGUAGCCUUAUAAGUGAAGUAUGAGUGAAGAGUCAUGCAGAAGGCAGGGAUUUCCUGUGUUGGUUGCUUGCAGCUUCCUGUGGUUACAUAAAAGGGAAGAUGGCUAACGUGGGGGACGCUGAGACAUUUGCAGCUUAACAGACAUAAAGAGCUUAACUUUAAACUGCGUUGCUUUGAAAAUAAUUUCACAGCAUUCUGGUGUCCGCCGGGGUGUAUAAUAUUCUCCAGCCGCUGUCUCGCAUGUCUCAGACGCAGCGAGCACUCUCAGCCGCACGCACGGCACACACAGCCACACCGCCGUUACGUUAUUAUUUGUGCGAUUGAGUGCUGGCAGCUACCGUGGUCGUGUCUGAGAAAUGCUGCUCUGUUAUGGUGUUUACUGCUUAAAAUAAGCAGUAGCUGUAUAUUAGAAAUCAUCCUUCUGUGUACGCCAUGGGAUCAUAGAUGUUUAUUCCUCCCCAUUAUGUUAGGUUGCUGAUUGCUGUUGAUUGGUUCAGGGAGGGUGGGGGGAGGAGAAGGACGACAGCUUAAGGCUAGCAAAUCCUUGCAGUCAGGCCUGAACAGAUGCUGUCCUUUACUUUAUGGCUGCAAAAGUGUAAGCGUGUGCGGCGGGGCCCACACGUGCGUCAUUUUAUCAGCCGCUGCUUACAGUAUGUGCUAAAAUGUGAAACACUCACAAUAAACCUGUACAAUUGUG